rnacentral:tRNA from 1 species
GGUGGCUUAGUGGUAGAGUGCUUGCCUAGCGUGCAUGAGGCCCUGGGUUCAAUUCCUCAGCACCA